rnacentral:misc_RNA from 1 species
UUACCGUAGGUGAACCUGCGGAAGGAUCAUUAAUGUGUUUGGGCCUCACGGCUCUUCAUUCCGACGCUGUGCGCCUUCGGGCUGCACGCUGAGGGAGCAUAUAUCCACCCCUGUGCACACACACGGUGGCGAGCAGGGUAACGGCUCGCCGCUGAUCUUUACACACGUCUAAAAGUCAUUGUAUGUUUAUUUGAGAUAAAAACACAACUUUCAGCAACGGAUCUCUUGGCUCUC